AGAGUUUGAUCAUGGCUCAGAUUGAACGCUGGCGGCAGGCCUAACACAUGCAAGUCGAGCGGUAGCACAGAGAGCUUGCUCUCGGGUGACGAGCGGCGGACGGGUGAGUAAUGUCUGGGAAACUGCCUGAUGGAGGGGGAUAACUACUGGAAACGGUAGCUAAUACCGCAUAACGUCGCAAGACCAAAGUGGGGGACCUUCGGGCCUCAUGCCAUCAGAUGUGCCCAGAUGGGAUUAGCUAGUAGGUGGGGUAACGGCUCACCUAGGCGACGAUCCCUAGCUGGUCUGAGAGGAUGACCAGCCACACUGGAACUGAGACACGGUCCAGACUCCUACGGGAGGCAGCAGUGGGGAAUAUUGCACAAUGGGCGCAAGCCUGAUGCAGCCAUGCCGCGUGUGUGAAGAAGGCCUUCGGGUUGUAAAGCACUUUCAGCGGGGAGGAAGGCGAUAAGGUUAAUAACCUUGUCGAUUGACGUUACCCGCAGAAGAAGCACCGGCUAACUCCGUGCCAGCAGCCGCGGUAAUACGGAGGGUGCAAGCGUUAAUCGGAAUUACUGGGCGUAAAGCGCACGCAGGCGGUCUGUCAAGUCGGAUGUGAAAUCCCCGGGCUCAACCUGGGAACUGCAUUCGAAACUGGCAGGCUAGAGUCUUGUAGAGGGGGGUAGAAUUCCAGGUGUAGCGGUGAAAUGCGUAGAGAUCUGGAGGAAUACCGGUGGCGAAGGCGGCCCCCUGGACAAAGACUGACGCUCAGGUGCGAAAGCGUGGGGAGCAAACAGGAUUAGAUACCCUGGUAGUCCACGCCGUAAACGAUGUCGAUUUGGAGGUUGUGCCCUUGAGGCGUGGCUUCCGGAGCUAACGCGUUAAAUCGACCGCCUGGGGAGUACGGCCGCAAGGUUAAAACUCAAAUGAAUUGACGGGGGCCCGCACAAGCGGUGGAGCAUGUGGUUUAAUUCGAUGCAACGCGAAGAACCUUACCUGGUCUUGACAUCCACAGAACUUUCCAGAGAUGGAUUGGUGCCUUCGGGAACUGUGAGACAGGUGCUGCAUGGCUGUCGUCAGCUCGUGUUGUGAAAUGUUGGGUUAAGUCCCGCAACGAGCGCAACCCUUAUCCUUUGUUGCCAGCGGU
rnacentral:rRNA from 1 species